UUGAAACAUCCUGAGAUUCAAGAUAUGGUUGAAUAAGAAAUCAAAGAAGCAGCAAACAUGAGAAACAAAUUCAAGAUAAGCUUCAUGUAACUUGGAACAAAACUCUCGCGAGUCUAUCCUGCAUCUCAGUGGGAUACGGAGCUAAUCCAUGAUCUAGCAGACUGCAGACUCGUAUUUGGUGCAACUGGACAAAUUGAAGUUAUACGAGGAUAAGUAAUGGACAAAUGUCUCAACAAGCCACACGCGUGGACAAAUGCUAUAGGCUGUCAAUUUCAAGGCAUCUUGGUGGUGGGAUAAGACUUUGGGACCAAUAGGUCUUGGGUUCGAUUCCCACAAAGGGGGUUUUCCCAUAUUUAUUGGGUUUCCUCCUGAAUUGGUGUAUAGGCAUUAUGCCUAGUGGAGAUGGAUAUGAUCGGGUGGUUCCGCUGGUG
rnacentral:lncRNA from 1 species